rnacentral:rRNA from 1 species
CGGGGUGAGUAAUGCUUGGGAAUCUAGCUUAUGGAGGGGGAUAACUACGGGAAACUGUAGCUAAUACCGCGUAGAAUCGAGAGAUGAAAGUGUGGGACCUUCGGGCCACAUGCCAUAGGAUGAGCCCAAGUGGGAUUAGGUAGUUGGUGAGGUAAAGGCUCACCAAGCCGACGGUCUCUAGCUGGUCUGAGAGGAUGACCAGCCACACUGGGACUGAGACACGGCCCAG